rnacentral:rRNA from 1 species
UACGUAGGGCGCAAGCGUUAUCCGGAAUUAUUGGGCGUAAAGAGCUCGUAGGCGGUUUGUCGCGUCUGCCGUGAAAGCCCGGGGCUCAACCCCGGGAGGCGGGUGGAUACUGCUCAGCUCGAGUCCGGAAGAGGAGUGUGGAAUUCCUGGUGUAGCGGUGAAAUGCGCAGAUAUCAGGAGGAACACCGGUGGCGAAGGCGGGUCUCUGGGCCGAAAUUGACGCUGAGGAGCGAAAGCGUGGGGAGCAAACAGG